CCUACGGGAGGCAGCAGUGGGGAAUAUUGCACAAUGGGGGAAACCCUGAUGCAGCGACGCCGCGUGAGUGAAGAAGUAUUUCGGUAUGUAAAGCUCUAUCAGCAGGGAAGAAAAGAGACGGUACCUUACUAAGAAGCCCCGGCUAACUACAUGCCAGCAGCCGCGGUAAUACGUAGGGGGCAGGCGUUAUCCGGAUUUACUGGGUGUAAAGGGAGCGUAGAGGGCGCGGCAAGUCUGAGGUGAAGGGAAGGGUCUAACCCCGGAACCGCCUUGGAAACCGGCAUGCUAGAGUAAGGGAGAGGUAAGUGGAAUUCCUAGUGUAGCGGUGAAAUGCGUAGAUAUUAGGAGGAACACCAGUGGCGAAGGCGGCUUACUGGACAGUAACUGACGUUGAGGCUCGAAAGCGUGGGGAGCAAACAGGAUUAGAUACCCGUGUAGUC
rnacentral:rRNA from 1 species